ACAAUAUCAAAGUUGGAUGAAGAAGCCAAGAGUGUUUGUGUUGCGAUCCUUGGUGAAAUGCGCCUGGAUCCUGGAAUAGUGGAGUUCUACCAUAGUGGAAGUUACCUUGCAAUUGCAGGUUCUGUUAUGAUAUCAGAUAUUACAGUGUGGUGAUGCGAGAGGAUUCUGUUGCGGAAAUUGACAAAAAUGACACAGUCGUGGUGAAGUUUAUAUAAUCAACAGAGGCUUCUGUUGUGGUUCUUAGAUAUCGGAGAGCAUCAAAGCAUGAGUGCCCUGUUGUCGGCUGGACUCAUCUUCUGUUUUGUGGCUGUGAUUUGCCGAGGAGAUGCUAUAGCUAUUUUUAGUCUCAGCUGAUGUACGGUUUCAGUUGUUUGGCUGUAUGAGGCUAUUUCAGUCCCAUUCUCCAGCUAGUUCAUGUUCAUUUGUAGUUUGUUUUGAAAAUUUUAAAUAGUCUGUUAACUGUUUUAUUAGUAUUGUGCUGGUUGUUUUAUGUCGAAUGCUAAAUGGCUGAAACAUGUACAGGUUUGAUCA